AACGAACGCUGGCGGCAUGCCUAACACAUGCAAGUCGAACGAAGUCUUCGGACUUAGUGGCGCACGGGUGCGUAACGCGUGGGAAUCUGCCCUUGGGUUCGGAAUAACAGUGAGAAAUUACUGCUAAUACCGGAUGAUGACUUCGGUCCAAAGAUUUAUCGCCCAAGGAUGAGCCCGCGUAAGAUUAGCUAGUUGGUGAGGUAAAGGCUCACCAAGGCGACGAUCUUUAGCUGGUCUGAGAGGAUGAUCAGCCACACUGGGACUGAGACACGGCCCAGACUCCUACGGGAGGCAGCAGUGGGGAAUAUUGGACAAUGGGCGAAAGCCUGAUCCAGCAAUGCCGCGUGAAUGAUGAAGGCCUUAGGGUUGUAAAGCUCUUUUACCAGGGAUGAUAAUGACAGUACCUGGAGAAUAAGCUCCGGCUAACUCCGUGCCAGCCGCCCCGUAA
rnacentral:rRNA from 1 species